AGCGUUGUGUCAGAGAAAGGAGAGAUGCCAAAACCCCAGCCAAAACACUGGAGCCAAGCACCCGUGGAUAUGGGAAAGUUGCCUUCUGGAUCCAAGCGUUGGAGGGCUCUGGGAGGCCCACCUACCUCAGGAACAGAUAUCUUCAUGAUUAUGAUGUGGAAGAGGGGAAAAAAGAGUGUGUGAUGCUGAGGGAGAAGAAAAUGGUCCUUGGAAAAACUGAUUUCUGAAAAGUAAGGACUCUUCCAAGCUUCAUUACACCUUCAUUCCCCUCUACUCUGCACCUCUUUUGGCAAUUAUUGAUGAUCUCUUCAUUCUUCUCUUUCCUGAAUAGCUCUGCAAAAGAGGGACAAUCACACAGAUCUUUAUAUUGCCUGCUAAUCCAAAACUGAAGCAAAUGGUACAAAGCUAAAAAUUGCAUUUGACCAUUUCAUGUCAGUCACAUGCAGAGAAGGCAUAACAAUACAGACCUAGAGAUAAAUGGAGUUAUUGCAGAUAUAUAACAAGUAUUAUCUUGCAUAACAUUCUUAUUUAGUAUUUCACACAAUGCAUGAUAAAUAGCUAUUCUCCACUGGAGAUCAGUUUAUUCAAAGGUUCAUUAAAUUAGUCACAUUAAUAGGGGUGGCUCUUAAAGAGACAUCUCCAGAUUCCUGUUGAAUUCAUAUACUAAAGAUGCAUGACAGACCAUUUCACACACUUUCAUAGUCCUUACAAAACCUUCUGCUGACAUCUUCCAAGAGGCACUUGGCAAAAUAACCCUUUGGUUUAGCCCAUGACCAAAUGCAUGGUCUGGCUCACAGUUGUGUAUUUCCCAUGAAAACAUGAAUCCUCAGAUGUAGCUUGCUGCAUAACAUCACAAGAUUUCUUGGCAGCAUAAGACAAAGGAGAGAGAAAAAAAAUAUUCCAAGUAGUUUUUUAAUAAUUAAAAGGAAUAAAUUGUUUUGCCUUUAGUCCUUUCCCA
rnacentral:lncRNA from 1 species